rnacentral:rRNA from 1 species
AGUGAACGCUGGCGGUAGGCCUAACACAUGCAAGUCGAACGGCAGCACAGUAAGAGCUUGCUCUUACGGGUGGCGAGUGGCGGACGGGUGAGGAAUACAUCGGAAUCUACUUUUUCGUGGGGGAUAACGUAGGGAAACUUACGCUAAUACCGCAUACGACCUACGGGUGAAAGCAGGGGAUCUUCGGACCUUGCGCGAUUGAAUGAGCCGAUGUCGGAUUAGCUAGUUGGCGGGGUAAAGGCCCACCAAGGCGACGAUCCGUAGCUGGUCUGAGAGGAUGAUCAGCCACACGGGAACUGAGACACGGUCCAGACUCCUACGGUAGGCAGCAGUGGGGAAUAUUGGACAAUGGGCGCAAGCCUGAUCCAGCCAUACCGCGUGGGUGAAGAAGGCCUUCGGGUUGUAAAGCCCUUUUGUUGGGAAAGAAAAGCAGCAGGUUAAUACCCCGCUGUUCUGACGGUACCCAAAGAAUAAGCACCGGCUAACUUCGUG